ensembl:lncRNA
CAAACAUUUCCUUUCAUGGUAAAAAUGAAGAGGACUUUUUUGGUUUUUUUUUGUGAUAAUGUUGAUAUUAAUAGGUUACAGCAUCUAUCAGUGGAAAGCUGUGAGAGAAGAGAAGUGAACACAGCUCUAAUUAGACAUGGGGUGAUCAAACAGAAUCGAGUAUUUUCCACAAAGUCUAAUUAAAGGUAUAAUCUGUGAUGGUGGUUUUGAAGUUAGCUGAAUGUGGCUGUUUUCAAACACACAAAAAUACAUACUAUCUUUUAAUUUCCUCCUUUCAAAGACCUUAAAUUCUGUCCUAGUAGUGAUAUACUUACUUAGUCCUCUGAUAGAUUUAAUAUAUUUUGGUUUUGUUUGUGUCAGGUUGGGUUGGGUUGGGUUAGAUUGGGUUGUGGUAGAUUGGGUUGGGUUAGGUUAGAUUGGGUUAAAUUAGAUUGGGUUGGGUUAGGUUAGAUUGGGUUAAAUUAGAUUGGGUUGUGGUAGAUUUGGUUAGGGUAGAUUUGGUUAGGUUAAGUUAGGGUAAAUUUUGGCUGGGUUAGGGUAGAUUGGAUUAGGUUAAAUUAGAUUGGUAAGUAUAGAUCGGGUUGGGUUAGGGUAGAUUGGGAUGGGUUAGGGUGGAUUGGGAUGGGCUAGGGUAGAUCAGGUUGGGUUAGGGUAGAUUGGGAUGGGUUAGGGUAGAUUGGAUUUAGUUGAGGUGGGUACUUAGGUUGAGUUGGGUUCUUGAUCAUCUUCCUUUUACAUCUUUGUUUUUUUUAUUGAAGCAAAAAAUAAUCUGUCAUCCGACACCUAUCACCAAUGUGAAAAAUUCAUUGCCCCUUUAAAAUCUGGUUCUCACUUUUAGCAGUAGUAACUGCAACCAAAUGCUUCUGAUAACUGAGAUCAGUCUUUCACUUCUAGGACUAGGAUUUACUCCUAUGCUUUGGAUCAUUGUCUUGCUGCAUGAUCCAGUUGUGUUUGAGUUUCAAAUUACAGACUGAAGACCGGACGUUCUCCUUUAGGAUUUUCUGGUAGAGAGGCAAGUUGCCCAGGCCCUGAAGCAGAAAAGCAUCCCCACACCAUCACACUUCCACCACCAUGCUUGACCAUAGGUUUGAGGAUCAUCAAGGUGUGUUUUGGCAAAAUUCAGACGAGCCUUAAUGUUCUUCUGGGUUAGCAGUGGUUUUCACCUCACCACUCUUCCAUGGACGCCAUUUUUGCCC